UUUAACGGUUACCCGGUUGGAUAACAGGUUUCGGAACACGUGGCGUGACACAGACUGACGAACACACUGUUGGAGGCUAACGAAGCGCAAGCGUGGGAGAAACGGUGACUACCGAGAUUUGAGAGAUGGGAACACCUCCAGCGGUAAAGUUAGAUUUUAGUUUUGAUUUUGAUUUUUUUUUCUUGAAAUCAAAAUAUGUAAAACUUUGUUAGGUAUGGAGCUUCUAAUCCAGUGAAUUCAAACAUCACAAAAUGAUUCAGAUGAUGGUGGCCAGUGCGAUUUCAAACCCUAAACUUCACUCUUCAUUCGAUUUCAACCCCUAAGCCUCCAUAUAUAUUUGUUUCUUUUCUUUUUAUGUAUAAUGGCGUCGAAUGGCCAUGGAUAUUACCAUCACUUGUAAAGCAUAAGACUUUUGUUCCUGGAUGUAUUAUUUUACAAUAAUCGAUUAUAGUUUUUGUUUUAACACUUAUAAUUUUUGGUUUUACAGGAUUACAAGUUCGAUUGGGUUUUUAAUCACUGCCAUGGCUUGCGAAGCUAAGAUUUUAAAGGUUUCCUGGAGACAAAUCGGAUUAAACUGAUGAUGGUGGUAAGAAAAAAUGAAAAGGGAUUCUGAAUUAAAAAGUUGAUGUUUAAUUAGACAAAUCAGGCCACCACAUGUGAGUUUCUCUUUGCGGCUCUCUAUAAAAAAAAAAACCACCAUCGUUGAACGUAUCCCUCUCUAACUAUGUAUAUGUGUGUGCCUUUGUUUAUAUGAACACAUAUUGUGUAUGUGGUAGAAUAUAUCUUUUGACUUCAUGUAACAGUUUUUUCGUUGUAUGCACAAUUGGAGAAUAUAGAUGCAGGAAUCUCUGUCUUAACCAUUGACUAUUCUAAUCUUUUACACAUAAAUUGUCUAACAAGAACAUGGUUUGAAGCGUUCCUUUGGAUUUUUCCAAGUUGAUCAGCUUAGUGGAGUUGUAAGUUUUGCUAAACAAUUUGUUUAAGAUACCAUUCCAUCGUACAAGGAUGGCAUAUAACUUUAGUUUCUUUGUUUUAUGAGUUAUUUAUAUACUUUUUUAGCAUCUCAUCUACAUCCUACUUACAGCAGGUGGCUCGAUGGAACUCCAUUGGAUAAGGGUGGGCCUACAUUGUGGCAAAUCUGAUAGAGUUUUCACAAACAAGGUUAAGGUCUAUUUGAAAGUAUGGUCAGAUAUUUAUUCUUUUCAUGUUUGUUCGUCACUAACACAAACACUACUUUAACACAUGGGUUUGAUGUGGAAUGAAUGUAUAACAUAAAAACAAUUGUUUACAAUAAACCUUUUUAGCAGUCAACAUAACACCAUUUGUGACACAUGGUAGACAUUUUCUCUCUUUUGACAGCCUAAUUUAUUUUUAAUAGGCUUAUUAUGCCACCUCUUAUUUAAGGCUUACUCUUUUAUGAGAAAAUUGAUCAAUCCUGUGUUUUGUGUUUUUAUUGUGUUGUGGUUUUUAUAUUUUUUUUUUUCUCGAAAGGAUUCUCCCCUGUUUGUCCUCGAUGCCAAGGAGAAGGAAUACAAACCCAAUCUUAAUAUAUAUUCAUAGUUUUAAUAUGUUUAGAUUUUUAAAGUAUAAUGUAUUACUC
rnacentral:lncRNA from 1 species